rnacentral:sRNA from 1 species
CUUUCCCCAAUCUGUGAAGUAGCUAAUAAUAUAGAACAGAAUGCUCAAGAGAAUGAAAAUGAAAGCCAAGUUUCAACAGAUGAAAGUUUACAACAGUGGAAAGUUGGGGACAAAUGUUCUGCCAUUUGGUCAGAAGACGGUUG